GAACGCACCUUGCGCUCCUUGGUAUUCCGAAGGGCAUGCCUGUUCGAGCGUCAUUAUCACCCCUCAAGCCCCGGCUUGGUGUUGGACUUAGUUACAGAUCACCUAUAACUGGCCUCAAAGAUAGUGACGGCGUCCCAGAGGGAACCGGUACGAGGAGCUUCCAGUUAAGCAUGUACGCGGGACGACUCUGCGGGCGACGGUCUUUUUCAUUUCUCCAAGUGUUGACCUCGGAUCAGGUAGGAAUACCCGCUGAACUUAAG
rnacentral:misc_RNA from 1 species